rnacentral:rRNA from 1 species
CUGGCUCAGAACGAACGCUGGCGGCAGGCCUAACACAUGCAAGUCGAGCGAGGACUUCGGUCCUAGCGGCGGACGGGUGAGUAACGCGUGGGAACGUGCCCUUCACUACGGAAUAGUCCCGGGAAACUGGGUUUAAUACCGUAUACGCCCUUCGGGGGAAAGAAUUUCGGUGAAGGAUCGGCCCGCGUCUGAUUAGGUAGUUGGUGGGGUAACGGCCUACCAAGCCUACGAUCAGUAGCUGGUUUGAGAGGAUGAUCAGCCACACUGGGACUGAGACACGGCCCAGACUCCUACGGGAGGCAGCAGUGGGGAAUCUUAGACAAUGGGGGCAACCCUGAUCUAGCCAUGCCGCGUGAGUGACGAAGGCCCUAGGGUCGUAAAGCUCUUUCACCAGGGAAGAUAAUGACGGUACCUGGAGAAGAAACCCCGGCUAACUCCGUGCCAGCAGCCGCGGUAAUACGGAGGGGGUUAGCGUUGUUCGGAAUUACUGGGCGUAAAGCGCGCGUAGGCGGACUGUUAAGUCAGGGGUGAAAUCCCGGGGCUCAACCCCGGAACUGCCCUUGAUACUGGCAGUCUCGAGUUCGAGAGAGGUGAGUGGAACUCCGAGUGUAGAGGUGAAAUUCGUAGAUAUUCGGAAGAACACCAGUGGCGAAGGCGGCUCACUGGCUCGAUACUGACGCUGAGGUGCGAAAGUGUGGGGAGCAAACAGGAUUAGAUACCCUGGUAGUCCACACCGUAAACGAUGAAUGCCAGACGUCGGGCAGCAUGCUGUUCGGUGUCACAACUAACGGAUUAAGCAUUCCGCCUGGGGAGUACGGCCGCAAGGUUAAACUCAAAGGAAUUGACGGGGGCCCGUACAAGCGGUGGAGCCUGUGGUUUACUUCGAAGCAACGCGCAGAACCUUA